CCUACGGGAGGCAGCAGUGGGGAAUAUUGGACAAUGGGGGGAACCCUGAUCCAGCCAUGCCGCGUGUGUGAAGAAGGCCCUCGGGUUGUAAAGCACUUUCAGUGAGGAAGAACGCCUGGUGGUUAAUACCCAUCAGGAAAGACAUCACUCACAGAAGAAGCACCGGCUAACUCCGUGCCAGCAGCCGCGGUAAUACGGAGGGUGCGAGCGUUAAUCGGAAUUACUGGGCGUAAAGCGCGCGUAGGUGGCUUGAUAAGCCGGUUGUGAAAGCCCCGGGCUCAACCUGGGAACGGCAUCCGGAACUGUUAAGCUAGAGUGCAGGAGAGGAAGGUGGAAUUCCCGGUGUAGCGGUGAAAUGCGUAGAGAUCGGGAGGAAUACCAGUGGCGAAGGCGGCCUUCUGGACUGACACUGACACUGAGGUGCGAAAGCGUGGGUAGCAAACAGGAUUAGAUACCCCUGUAGUC
rnacentral:rRNA from 1 species